ensembl:lncRNA
CUUUUUUUAAUCUGAUGUUUGGCUCAAGCAUAGUCAAAAUGUGAAAAACUGUGGAUAGGCUAGCACAAUUUCUAGUUUUGGUGAUUUUAUUCCUUUGCUUAUUUAUCUUGAAUAUAUAAAUUUACCCAUUACAAUCAAAACAGAAGAGAUUUUAAUAACACAAAAGGCAAGACUGCUCCAGAGGCAAAUGUUGGUGACAGCUCUGCAAGCUGGAGGCAGAGCCUAAAGAAACUGAGAGGUGAAAGGAGAUGACACAGGUGCAAGAAGGGCCAGAGUAAUAAGGUUUUCAAGUUAAAAAGUGGGGAGUUGGUAGAUAUUGUUAUUUAUGGAAGAAGAAAUGAAGGCAUAACUAUUUUGAGGUUACAAAGGUGAUGCAGAGAGAAGCCAAGAUUAUUGAUAAUAUUACAAAAUAAGGGUGUGUGGCGGAAGCGGGGUGAAGUAACGAACUAAGUCCUCAUUUGUCAUAGCAGGAAAUUAAAGGAUAAUGCCAAAAAUAGACAAAAAAAGAAAGUAUCCUAAAACAGCAACUAGUCGCUAUUUCUCGUAUUUCUGUGGACUUGCUGGGCAGUUCCUCUGUGGUUUCGCUGGGGCUCACCUGUGGGCUGCAUUCCCCAGAGAGGUGGCUGGACUGGACAGACCAAGGUGGGCUUCCUUGCACAUCUGGCUAUAAUGCUCGCUGUCCACUGGGGUACUUCAGGUCUCCUCCAUGUGGCCUCUCACUCUUCUGUAGCUAGCCUGGUUUCCUUAAAUGACAGCCACAGGACAGCAUUCCAAAAGUUCAAAAGCAGAAGCUACAAGGCCCAUUAAGGCCUAGCCUGAGAUUUUGCAAACUAUCAUUUCUGCCUUACGUACUGGACACAGGAAGUCCCAGGGCCAGCCCCGAUUCAAGGGGUCGGGGAACAGAUUCUGUCUCUUGAUGGAGGGAGCUGCAAAGUCAGAUUGCAAAGGAGUGAACAUAACAGAAUAGGAGAAAUCUGUGGACCCAUUUGCAAUCUACUACCGUCUGCCCUCUGCCUACAAUUAUUUACAUUUCUCUCUCAUGCAGAGGAAACAAAAACAGAAAGGUCCAAUUGACUGUCUCUGGGAAGUAGAACAGGGGGAAGAAAGAGUGGGGACAAGAGGUUUCAUUCUAAGCUCUUUCAAUAUUAUUUUUUUAAAUACAUCAUGUUUUAUAAAAAUUAACAUUCCUACUGUUAUAUAAGGUUCAGUGCAUAUAAAUUUCUUGCUCUGAACAGAAAAACUGGAAAGGUAGUUUCCCCGUGCUCAUUUAAUAAAUGCUGAACCAUAUUUACUGAAUAUGGAUUUUAAGAACUGUAAAAUCAUUAAACUACUUAGAACCAACAUUCCUCAGUUUUGCCCUGCCGACCUCAUGGGACUAAUGAUUCAAUUUAAAAAUGUGAUCAUAUACGUGAAAAAUGCUUCUUAAACUGUAAAUGUUUUAUAACUCACUAUACAUUAUCCAUUGCUACUGUUUCUAUGUCGUGCCCAGCACUGUAUUAGGCUGUGUGGAGGCCACAAGAGGACCAGAAAAUAAGGUUCCUGCCAGCAAGGAAUUAAUAGUCUAGGUGAGGAGACAAGAUGACUUCCACAAACCAAUUAUAAUACAUUACGCUAAACUUUAAGGGCCCAUGCAGGCAGGGACAAUGAUUCUGUUCAUUGCAGCCUCAUCAGGACCCCACACAUAAUAAGACCUUGAUAAAUACAUGUUAAUGGAGAGAUGGAUCAAUUACCUGGCAGUCCGUAAUUCAGAGCCUGGACACAGUUCCGAUUGUGAGUGCUGGAGGCAUCCGAGAAGUGGCGAUCAGAGGAGCCGAUUGUACUCAGGUAAGGCACUGAGGCUGGGCUUUCUUUCUUUCUUUCUUUCUUUCUUUUUUUUUUUUUGAGGAAGACUAGCUCUGAGCUAACGUCUGCCAAUCCUCCUCUUUUUUGGUGAGGAAGACUGGCCCUGAGCUAACAUCCGUGCCCAUCUUCCUCUACUUUAUAUGUGGGACACCUACCACAACAGCAUGGCUUGCCAAGCUGUGCCAUGUCCACACCCAGGAUUUGAACCAGCGAACCUUGGGCCACUGAAAUGGAAUGUGCGCACUUAACGGCUGUGCCACCGGGCUGGCCCCUGGGCUUUAUUUCUAAUCAGGACACAACAAAGACAUAGUACCACAAGAGGGAAGGUGAAUAUUUCAGCUCCGGAGAGCCCAGAAAAGGAAAGACACAUGGAGGUGGGAAGGACAUCAAACCAGCUUGAGCAGAAGGGGAGAAGUGGGAGGAGGGCUCUAUGGUCUCCCCCUGUGGCAGCUGGACAGACAGAAGGACAAGGGAGAGAAGACAGGAUGGAGUGGUGAGAAAUGGGAAGCACUCUGGGCACCUGAGAAGGAGUGAGGGAACAGUCCGACAACCCAGCAGGCCUCAGGGGAGCCCCAGUGGCAAGUGCUGCUGCCCAUCCAUAUAGAAGAGCCUCACCUUCUCCUUGUACUUUUAUUCAGCACCCAGUCCAUAGUAGAAUUAGGCAGGGAAGCAAAGGUGAAUUGGACAUCGUCCUCCUCCCCAGGACAUUAGAGCCUUUAACAGUGGGAGAGACCCCAGUUACGUCAAUAACUCAGGGCCUUGGAGCAUCCCAGAAUGGUGGAAAGCCAGGCUCUGAGCUCAGGCACGCCUGCACUCCCUUCCCUGGUCCAGCACUCAGAGCUCGAGAUCCUUAGGCAAGUUAACCUCCUUAAGCCUCGGUUUUGUCACCUGAAACCAGUCUCUGUGUCACAGGUUGUGAGGAUGAAAUGAGGUCCCCCACAUAAAGCUCUCAGAGGGUGCUUAGCUCGCCACCAGUAGCCUUAUUAGCCUUAUUGGUAUUAUUAGGGAGGCCGCAGCUGUCAGACCAGGGAGGCUGGGGGAAGGUGUUGGCUUUCCAUCUGGACUUGAAAAUGAGGAGAAUUUAGAUAUGCAGAGAUGGGCAAGCCAGGGCAUCCCAGCUGGGGGCCAGAGAAAGGCCCAACACGGGAAAACAGUGUGGAGGGAGCCGCUAAGCUUUCCUUUUGACUGGCCGAGGAGGGCGCGAGAGCUCCAUCUGGAAGGGCAGAUGGGGGUAACUGGGGGGGCCAGAGCAAGAAACCAAACCUUGCUCUGUGGGGAGCUGUGAAGGAGUUGCACAGGGAAGUGACCGGGUCAGAGGUGGGAGAGGGGCCACAGGCUGGUGAGGAUGGACGAGAUGUACAGAGGGUGGGAGGGUGGUUGCCUUUCAAACACAUGACUCACCGUGUUCUGGGAAAGACCUAGGAUUGAGAUAUAAUUCUUGGGACUUUAUCUCUUUCACAACUGGCUUCAAAGGGAAGAAGUUUGGGUGACAAGAGAGGAGCUAAAGGGCCACGUUAAUGAUUGGAGAGGCGACAUGGUUCAGGAAAACAUCAAUACUCCUCGUCUAAUCAUUUACCGGGAAAGCGUUGGCAAGGGAGGUGCGUGGGAAGUACAACUCUGCAACCCUGAGGACAGAGCUCAAGACCAGACGGGGUCUGGCCCUGGGCACAGUGAAAACUGGAUUUCUCUCUAGAUCUCUGUCAAACCUCUUUAGGGUCCCAUUGCCCUAUUAACACUACCUCUUCCCUCAGUUGCGCAGAUCCCAUGGGCACAUCCAAACACGCCAUGUCUCCAUGUGUGGGUAUGGUGUAGACAUUUGAAUCCCCACAAUGCUGCUCCUCAGCUGUGGGACUUUGGGCAGAUGACUUGACGUGGUCACUUGAGAGCCCUGCAGUAAAUUGAGACGUCAGUGAAUCCUUCAGCAGCGAACUCACUGCCUCAGAGCCUUGUUCUCUUCCUCCAGCACGGAGGGAAAUCUACUGAAAUCCUACAGGCCCUGGACCGAGCAUCCUUGUCCCUCCCUGACCUCACGGACUGUUGAGGGGAUGUUCGCAGAGCUCCUGGGCUUCCCUUUCAAUUGGAUUCUAAAUACACAGACGCUAUUUGCUCAUAAUAACGAAGAUAUGUCACAAUCUGUGAGAACGUCUGAACUUAUUAUAAACUUAGAGUCAGGCGCCAGGGUAAAUGUUCCAGAGACUUGCAGGUGUUCUCAGAUCAAAUUGGUUUCUUUCUGAAGAAAUUAUGUGAAGCGUUGACACUGGUAAAGCAAUUCCAAAAUGGAAUCUAAUUCAGUGCAUCUUUCUGCUGGUUUCAAAGGAAAAUUGAUUUAUAUAAUAUUAGUUCCCUUUUGAAUCUGACACUGAUCUAAUAAGCGUGUUAUUAUUGUCAUUUGGUAUAUCUCUGCUGAAUAUUAAGCUGUCUAUAUCGUAUAUAUGUGAAUAUAAAAUGGACCAUCUCAUGCCUUCUCAUUGGAAAUACAAGAACUAACGCAGACUCACGAACUCAAGCAGAAAGGGAUUGUAUUGGCAGCGCAUCAGAAAGCUUGAAGAAUCGACAGAAAUACCUAUAAGAAAACCAACAGCAUGAAAAAAUGAAAAACAUAAAGCUACAAGAAAACUUGAUUUGAGGAAACAGCCCAAAGAAGGUCACACGGAUGCCAGCACGUGCCUGCCUGCCUCUGGAGCACAGCACUGGUCCCCACGUCUUCUUCAUCAUCUCUUCUACCAAGAAAAAAAGAAGCACCCUGUGAGUUAAGGUUGCCAGCCCCACCUGGCAGAGGAAGGAGAAGAAAGAGACCUGUGGUGGCAGAAACAGGAUUGGAACCGAGGCAGGGCUGCGAGGACACCUUCUCUGGCCAAUAGCAGAAAACCUGGAAUAAGAGGAGUCGCAUUCACAGACAAUGAGCUUUUUAAGGCAAGUGCAGUGGGAGGACCAGGUUCCCCAGGGUUAUGCCUGCACUGGGGCAUGUCCCGGAUGACAGCACUUAGCCAGGUGGAAGAGGGCCAGCAUUCAACCCGGCGGAGCAAACAUCUACAAGGUUUGUCAAGAUACAAUGCAGGUACUGCUCAAAGACCACUGGGAGCAAUAGUGACCCAACUUGACUCCAGACACCGCAAUGACCUCCACUACAUUGUCAAAUGGGAAUAUUGAGAGGACGCAUCUCUAUCUUAUCCCGUGAACUUCAACUUUUGACUGUUAAUAAUGAUGUUUGCUGAAGGUUUUUCAGAUUAACGAAUAUCUCUUCUAUUCCUAGUUUGCUUUAGUUGCAUUCCAGAAGUUUUAAAACAUAACCUUUUCAUCAUAUUCAGUUCUAUGUAUUUUUAAAUUUCCAUUAUAUAUUUUCUUUGAUCUAUGAAUUAUUUAAAGUAUGUUUUUCAUUUCCAAAUGUAAGGCUUUUUUUAAUUAAUGUUUUUUGUCAUUGAUUUCUAACAAUUACUUUUGAUAUUUAUUCAUAGAAAAUUCCAUAAUUGUUUAAAAAGAGGCAAUAAUCUCCAACUGCUGAGUGCCACGUUCUCUAUAUGCCAUUUUAUCAAGUUUAUUAAUGUGUUCACGUCUUUUACAUCCUCACUGACUUUUAGCUGCUUAAUCUCUGAAUUGCCAAGAGAAAUGUUAAAAAUCUCCCACUGGCACAGUGGAUCUGUCUAUCUCCCCUCUUAGUGCUGCAAUUGUUUACUUUAUGUAUUUUGAGGAGAUAUAUAUAAAUAAUGUUACAAGUCUAGAAUUGUUAUAUUUGUGUGAAAUUAAGCAUCUUACCAUUGUGUGGUGACCUCUUUAUCACUCAUAAAGCUGUUUGCCUUAAAGUCUGUUUUUUUCUGACAUUAACAUAUUUUUCCAGCUCUCUUUUGACUGCUAUUUGCCUGUUGUGUCUUUUUCCAUCCUUUAACUUUCAAUAUUUCUACAUCCUUAUGUUUGAAAUGUGUCUCGUGUAAAUAGCAUAUGCUAGAUUAUAUUUCUUUACCCAGGCUCUCAGUUUUUGUCUUUUAACUGGGAAGUUUAGUCCUGUCAUAGUUACAGUCAUUACUAAUAUAUUUAAAUUUAUUUCUGCCAUCCUACUAUAUGUUUUAUAUGUGUCUCCCUUUUUCUGUUCUUCCACAGCCCUUUCUUGUAAAGUAGGUUUUUUUGUUUUUAUUUCAUCAUUUUCUCCCUCCAUUGGCUUCUAUUUUUUUGGAAGUUAUAUUCUCCAUAUCGUUCCUUUUUGUAAUUGCCCUAAAAUUUUUAAGAUGCAUUUUUAAUAAUUCUAAAAUUAAUAUCUUUAACCUCC